rnacentral:rRNA from 1 species
AUUGAACGCUGGCGGCAGGCUUAACACAUGCAAGUCGAACGAGUGGCGGACGGGUGAGUAAUGCCUGGGAAACUGCCUGUUGGAGGGGGAUAACUACUGGAAAAGGUAGCUAAUACCGCAUACCAUCGGAUGUGCCGAGGUGGGAUUCGCUAGUAGGUGGGGUAAAGGCUCACCUAGGCGACGAUCCCUAGCUGGUCUGAGAGGAUGACCAGCCACCGUGGAACUGUGACACGGUCCAGACGCCUACGGGAGGCAGCAGUGGGGAAUAUUGCACAAUGGGGGCAAGCCUGAUGCACCCAUGCCGCGUGUAUGAGGCAGGCCUUCGGGUUGUAAAGUACUUUAAGCGGGGAGGCGUUACCCGCAGAAGAAGCACCGGCUAACUCCGUGCCAGCAGCCGCGGUAAUAC